AACUUUCCCUCUCUAGCGUUUCGCUUAGUACGGCGCCAUAGCAACCAUAAACACCAGUGGCUCUAGCCGUUUGCUGCUUCCUGUUUGGUGCUGGAGGGAGCACACCCAUUGGUUCUUGGCAACGUUCAUGU